AGAAGAGAAGAUCAAGCAAGCCACUGGCCAUGCUCAUUUUGCUGAUGGAAUUGUUGCCCUCACACCCCCAAAUUCUUAUGUUGAAGCCCUAACUCCCAACGUGAUGGUAUUUGAAGAUGGGGCCUUUGAGAGAUAAUGAUACCAGGAAGCUACAAAUGGGAUUCCUGGAGAGAGACCUGGACG